GACGAACCACACGAACGUUAUUCGGAAUCACUGGGCUUAAAGGGUGCGUAGGCUGCGCAGCAAGUUGGGUGUGAAAUCCCUCGGCUCAACCGAGGAACUGCGCCCAAAACUGCUGUGCUCGAGGGAGACAGAGGUGAGCGGAACUUAGGGUGGAGCGGUGAAAUGCGUUGAUAUCCUAAGGAACACCCGGUGGCGAAAGCGGCUCACUGGGUCUCUUCUGACGCUGAGGCACGAAAGCUAGGGUAGCGAACGGG
rnacentral:rRNA from 1 species